rnacentral:lncRNA from 1 species
UUCCUAUACACUGUUGAAAUACUAAUUAACAAAUCCUACAUACAGGGUGUCUCAAAAAAACCGCUACCUUAGAAAUUCACCACUGUUCUAAUUUGAAUGCCUGAACCUUGUUGAAGCCAUAAAUGCGUAAACAUUUUCACAGGAUGCAUAUAUUAAAGAUCUUCGGAAUUAAAAUAUCCUUGAAAAGCAAAAUUGUUUAUCCUGGGAAUUGAAAGUAGGUUCAUACAAAAGUAUAACUCCACGAAAAUCGUUCAAUUACAUAUUAGUGAAUGUCAAGCAAAUGGCUCAACUGAGCACAGAGCGAAGACUAUUUAUUGUCUUAAAUUAAAUUGUUCAUGCACCCAUGAGUUCAAGAUAGCACUCAGGCGUUUAAAUUAGAACAAUGGUGAAUUUCCAAGGGUAGCGGUUUUUUUGAGACACCUGUAUAGGGCGAUUUCCGCUCAAUUACCCGACCGAUGAGACCAAAUUUUUGUCUGUGUAUUUGAUUUGAAGGAUCCUAAUCGCAAAUGUUUUGCGUUUCAUGAUCAAUCUGACCAGUCGCAACAUGAUAAUAGCCAUGCAAUUGAAAUUCAUAUUAGGGAGUAGGGACGGGAAACUACGUCUGGGAAAACCCGUCUGAAUAUGAAUUUUGGGACGGAUAAUUUUAGAAGGAAGGUGAGUUUCUCGUCUGGAUGGUAUAGUAGGUAUACCGUCUAACUUUAUCGUCUGUUUGGACAGGUAAAGUUAGACGGUAAUGUUCGGACGGAAAAUGUCUGCCCCCCGAUAUAUAUUAGACGAGUUUCCCGUCCCUAAUAUGAAUUUGGCCAAUGAAAGCUCCCUUAGAUAUACACGAACAGAUUCCUAGAAUACGAUUUAGCUAUGAUAAAUUCACUAAGAAUGGACACCAAUGGCGUAGCCAGGAAAAAAUGGAGAAAAAAUUGUGAUGAGGGUAUCCAAGCAUAGAUAUCUUACAGUAUAUACACUAGACAGUGCAUCUAAUUAUUCCGCAAUUUAAAAAUUGAAGCCGUGAUUGCAGUCUCAUGUCGUUCCCAUGAA